rnacentral:rRNA from 1 species
AACGAACGCUGGCGGCAUGCCUAACACAUGCAAGUCGAACGAGACCUUCGGGUCUAGUGGCGCACGGGUGCGUAACGCGUGGGAACCUGCCCUUAGGUUCGGAAUAACUCCCCGAAAGGGGUGCUAAUACCGGAUAAUGUCUUCGGACCAAAGAUUUAUCGCCUUUGGAUGGGCCCGCGUUGGAUUAGCUAGUUGGUAGGGUAAAAGCCUACCAAGGCGACGAUCCAUAGCUGGUCUGAGAGGAUGAUCAGCCACACUGGGACUGAGACACGGCCCAGACCCCUGGGGGGGGCGGGAGUGGGGAAUAUUGGACAAGGGGCGAAAGCCAGACCCAGCAAGGCCGGGUGGGUGAUGAAGGCCUUGGGGUUGUAAAGCUUUUUUCCCCGGGAUGAAAAUGACGGUACCGGGGAAAAAAGCUCCGGCAAACCCCGG